AUUGAACGCUAGCGGCAGGCCUAACACAUGCAAGUCGAGCGAGAGGCGGACGGGUGAGUAAUGUAUGGGAAUGUGCCCGGUAGAGGGGGAUAACUACUAGAAAAGGUGGCUAAUACCGCAUACUAUCGGCUGCGCCGAUAUGGGAGUAGCUAGUGGGUGGGGUAAAGGCUCACCAAGGCGACGAUCUCUAGCUGGUCUGAGAGGAUGAUCAGCCACACUGGGACUGAGACACGGCCCAGAAGCCUACGGGAGGCAGCAGUGGGGAAUAGUGCACAAUGGGCGGAAGCCUGAUGCAGCCAUGCCGCGUGUAUGAAGAAGGCCUUAGGGGUGUAAAGUACUUUCGGUGGGGAGGCGUUAUCCGCAGAAGAAGCACCGGCUAACUCCGUGCCAGCAGCCGCGGUAAUUC
rnacentral:rRNA from 1 species